rnacentral:snoRNA from 9 species
CUCCAUGUGGCUGAUGACAGCGCUGCUGCUGAGACUCUGUGACUGCUCAGUGUCAAAGUAAACGCUCUGACGCACCGUGG